AGCGAACGCUGGCGGCAGGCUUAACACAUGCAAGUCGAACGCCAUCUUCGGAUGGAGUGGCAGACGGGUGAGUAACGCGUGGGAACGUACCCUUUGGUUCGGAAUAUUCUCGGGAAACUGGGAGCAAUACCGGAUAAGCCCUACGGGGGAAAGAUUUAUCGCCAAAGGAGCGGCCCGCGUCAGAUUAGGUAGUUGGUGGGGUAAAGGCUCACCAAGCCAACGAUCUGUAGCUGGUCUGAGAGGACGACCAGCCACACUGGAACUGAGACACGGUCCAGACUCCUACGGGAGGCAGCAGUGGGGAAUUUUGGACAAUGGACGCAAGUCUGAUCCAGCCAUUCCGCGUGCAGGAUGAAGGCCCUCGGGUUGUAAACUGCUUUUGUACGGAACGAAAAGGUUUCUAUUAAUACUAGGAGCUCAUGACGGUACCGUAAGAAUAAGCACCGGCUAACUACGUG
rnacentral:rRNA from 1 species